rnacentral:lncRNA from 1 species
GUUAUUUACGGCGGUAGCGUGGUGGUGACGGUGACGCGCGGUCACUAAUGGCGGGCAGGAAGUAAACAUCGAGAAGGCAAGGGAUUUAUGUAGCGCAUGAUGUUUACCACGAGAGUUUACUGCCAGCGUACUUCAAAGUUAAACGGAAUAGACACGUUGUUUAGUGUAAAGUAGGCUAUAUUACACGUUAUUCUUUGCACUGACGCUGCGUUAUGGAUGCCAACAUGAAGCACAAACCUGAGGUGCGUAUGAGAAGCUGAUUGGUUGGAUCCAUGCUGGCUUCUCAUGUAGGCUGAGUGGUCUCUGGCAUACAUGGAGUUAUCCCCUGUAUGUCACGGAACUGGCAUCUGUGAGAUUAAGGUGGAACCAAGACUGCCAAUCUGUUGUUCGCAUGUCCUUGAUGUGCCGGAGUUAAAUGGUUACACUAGAUUUAUAAAUGUAUUUCUUCUUUCUUGUGUCUUUUAUUUUCUUAUUUUCUAAAGACUUUUAUUUUGUUUACCUGUGUUCUGAUGUGGGUAAGGGAAUUAUAACGACAAUCAG